rnacentral:tRNA from 1 species
GGGGCCGUGGGGUAGUCGGUAUCCUCGGCGGUUCGGGGCUGCCGGACCUGAGUUCGAGUCUCAGCGGCCCCACC